AACAAACGCUGGCGGCGUGUCUUAAGCAUGCAAGUUGAGCGGCAAGGAGGAGAGAUCCUCCCUAGAGCAGCGGACUGGUGAGUAACGCGUGGGUAAUCUAUCUUAGGCAUGGGGAUAGUCACUAGAAAUAGUGGGUAAUACCGAAUAAGUUCCAUAAGGGGAGGACUUAUGGAAGAAAGGUGCUACGGCACUGGCCUUAGGUGAGCUCGCGUCCCAUUAGCUAGUUGGUGAGGUAAAGGCCCACCAAGGCGAUGAUGGGUAGCCGGCCUGAGAGGGUGUACGGCCACACUGGGACUGAGAUACGGCCCAGACUCCUACGGGAGGCAGCAGCUAAGAAUAUUCCGCAAUGGACGGAAGUCUGACGGAGCGACGCCGCGUGGAUGAAGAAGGCCGAAAGGUUGUAAAGUUCUUUUGCUAGGGGAGAAUAAGUGUGGGAGGGAAUGCCUGCACGAUGACAAGGACUAGCGAAUAAGUCCCGGCAACUACGUGCCAGCAGCCG
rnacentral:rRNA from 1 species